GCCUGGGUGGCUCAGUAGGUUAAGCAUCUGACUUUGAUUCAGAUCAUGAUCUCAUGGUUCAUGGGUUUGAGCCCCACAUCGGGCU
rfam:Felis catus isolate Cinnamon breed Abyssinian chromosome A1, whole genome shotgun sequence.